UACGUAGGGAGCAAGCGUUGUCCGGAAUCAUUGGGCGUAAAGCGCGUGUAGGCGGCCCGAUAAGUCCGCUGUGAAAGUCCAGGGCUCAACCCUGGGAUGCCGGUGGAUACUGUCGGGCUCGAGUCCGGAAGAGGAGUGUGGAAUUCCUGGUGUAGCGGUGAAAUGCGCAGAUAUCAGGAGGAACACCAAUGGCGAAGGCAGCACUCUGGGACGUGACUGACGCUGAGACGCGAAAGCGUGGGGAGCAAACAGG
rnacentral:rRNA from 1 species